CGACGGGCUCAUAUUGAACCUAGUGAUGUAUGAGUUAGUGGCGGACGGGUGAGUAACGCGUGGAGAACCUGCCGUAUACUGGGGGAUAACACUUAGAAAUAGGUGCUAAUACCGCAUAAGCGCACAGCUUCGCAUGAAGCAGUGUGAAAAACUCCGGUGGUAUACGAUGGAUCCGCGUCUGAUUAGCUGGUUGGCGAGGUAACGGCCCACCAAGCCGACGAUCAGUAGCCGAUCUGAGAGGGUGACCGGCCACAUUGGGACUGAGACACGGCCCAAACUCCUACGGGAGGCAGCAGUGGGGAAUAUUGCACAAUGGGGGAAACCCUGAUGCAGCGACGCCGCGUGAGUGAAGAAGUAUUUCGGUAUGUAAAGCUCUAUCAGCAGGGAAGAAGAAGGACGGUACCUGAGUAAGAAGCCCCGGCUAACUACGUGCCAGCAGCCGCGGUAAUACGUAGGGGGCAAGCGUUAUCCGGAUUUACUGGGUGUAAAGGGAGCGUAGACGGCGAAGAAAGUCUGAAGUGAAAGCCCGCGGCUCAACCGCGGAAUGGCUUUGGAAACUUUUUUGCUGGAGUACCGGAGAGGUAAGCGGAAUUCCUAGUGUAGCGGUGAAAUGCGUAGAUAUUAGGAGGAACACCAGUGGCGAAGGCGGCUUACUGGACGGUAACUGACGUUGAGGCUCGAAAGCGUGGGGAGCAAACAGGAUUAGAUACCCUGGUAGUCCACGCGGUAAACGAUGAAUGCUAAGUGUUGGUGGACAAAGUCCAUCGGUGCCGUCGCAAACGC
rnacentral:rRNA from 1 species